rfam:Virgibacillus sp. SK37, complete genome.
GGUACCUUUAAUUCAGUCCUGUGAGGCUGACAAGGAAAGCGGAUAUUGUGUAGGGAUAUGUCUCUUUUGGCAUAAUGUAAUGAUUGUAGAUAAUUCUCAAUCAUUUAUCCCACAUUCAGGCUUCUUGUCACAUAUGACAGGGGGCCUGUUUUU